GAUGAACGCUAGCUACAGGCUUAACACAUGCAAGUCGAGGGGUAACGAGAGGGAAGCUUGCUUUCCUUGUCGACGACCGGCGCACGGGUGAGUAACGCGUAUCCAACCUGCCCCCAACUAGGGAAUAACCUUGCGAAAGUAAGACUAAUACCCUAUAAUUUCCUCAGAUGUCAUCUGACGAGGAAUAAAGAUUUAUUGGUUGUGGAUGGGGAUGCGUCUGAUUAGCUUGUUGGCGGGGUAACGGCCCACCAAGGCAACGAUCAGUAGGGGUUCUGAGAGGAAGGUCCCACACAUUGGAACUGAGACACGGUCCAAACUCCUACGGGAGGCAGCAGUGAGGAAUAUUGGUCAAUGGGCGGAAGCCUGAACCGGCCAAGUAGCGUGCAGGAUGACGGCCCUAUGGGUUGUAAACUGCUUUUAUACAGGAAUAAAGUUAGCCACGUGUGGUUAUUUGUAGGUACUGUAUGAAUAAGGACCGGCUAAUUCCGUGCCAGCCGCCGCAGUAA
rnacentral:rRNA from 1 species